GCAACCCCAGGUCAGGCGGGCCACCUGCCGAG
rnacentral:rRNA from 1 species